UUCACAUGGUGGCAGUAUAAGAAGACAAAGAGGGAGCUGGCAGCUUUUGUCGAAUUACUGAUUUGACAUGCCUUCGAAUUACCAUAUUUUCUACAUCAUGAAUGUUCGUAGGAUCAUGGUCUUUCUCCUCGUCGGUUUUUUUGCUGUGGAUUUUUUCGAUACGUAGAAAACUACAUCCUAUGCAUGAGGGCAAGAAUCUCGUUAACAUCUUUCGAUCCUAAUAA